CGGUCUUUGUCUGUGUUCUUUCUUCUUGGAGUGUUUGUUUGCUUUUUUUUUCCUUUUAUUUGUGUUAUGCUUUUGCCUUUGUUUUUUCUUCUUUGUACUACUAUGGAUAACUUCUAAGACCUUUAUGAAGCUUUUCAGUGUGCAGUUAGGGAAGGUCAGGAUCUAGGAGUGGAUGCCCUGGAUGUUAGUGGAAGACCUGCAUUAGCUCAGCUUGAAGAGUGGAUAUUGUGAAUUGUAGGUAGAAUUUUUCCUCGUUUAGCUAUCCCUUUUGAUGAGUUAUCUAUAGCUCUACAUGGUCCCUGGAAAAUUCCAGUUAAAGCUUUUAUUAUGUGAUGUUUAUUAUUAUGGCAAAGUUCUAUUAGAUGGUCCUCGGAUAGUUUCUGAGCAGUGGAUUUUGAUUAAGGAGUGGAGAGAGGGCUAGGUUUAGUCUGCUAUUGCUCUUGAUGACGCAAAAGUUUGGGUUUAGGUCCAUGAUCUACAAUAUAAUAUGUUGGAUGCCUUGCUGGAGAACAUCUGGGAGAGGUUCAUGCUUCCUAGAAUAAAGGUCAUUAUAUUCGUGUUAAAGUUUCUAUAGAUAUUAAUCAACCUUUAAAAUGUGGUGCUUUUGCCUCUGUGAUGGAUUGGGUUAUUUCUCGUUAUGAGAAACUAUUCUUGUGGAAGAGUCGGCCAUGGUUAUAAGAAGUGUACUUUUUUUUGUUUACCGGAAGUUGAUGAUUUGGAAGCCUUUUUACAAUCAAAGGACGAUGAACCACUAUGGGCUUUGGCUCAAAGCAGAAACUCCUAUGAGACCUGACUGAAUGGCGUCAUCCAACUUGAUCAGUUUUUGGUGCAUGGAGAUCACAUGGAUGAUCAUGAGUCUUCGAGGAUGUUUCCAGAGGUGUUGUUUAUGAGAGAUUUGGGUAGUGGGAGAGUAGAGUCUUUGGGUGGGAGGGGUUCUCGAGGUUGGAAAAGGAGAUCAACUGAGUUGACAAGGGAUGACAUCAUGAGGGUGGCAGAUAAUCUAGAUAGUAGAGUAGAUCGUUUGAAAAAAGAAUCGGCCAAACUAGAUGAACUUGUUGGUCUAGAGACUAAGCUUAAUAUGACCAUAUCUAAGUUGGAUCCUAGGGAUUCAUAUAUGGGUUAUCUGGAUUAUUCUAUCCUAGGAGGGAGUCUGGUAUUCGGAUUAGAGAAAUUGGUUCAGGGUUUGGUCAUUCUGCGGAUUCGGAUUCAGAUAUGCGUAUGUGGAAUUACCUUUCUUUUGAUGGUGGACAAGGAUGUAUUUAUGUUGUUUAUUGUCUAAUGGUUCUUUUUGUUUGUAUAUAUGUGCUUUUGUUUUCUCUUAUUGUUUGUUUUGUGUUAUCUUUCUUUUGGUUGGCUUUUUUGUUUUGUUUAGCUACUGUUGGGGGUGAUGCUGAGGCAUGUUCGGGGGGAAGAUUUCUGGAUAGGGGGGGCAUCGUUACCAGAAGGUUUUAUUCCUACUAGAGGUUUAAGACAGGGGGAUCCUUUGUCACCGCAUCUUUUUUAGGAUGCUUCAUCAUCAACUGCCAAGAAAGAUCUACUCAUCUUCUCUUGCAAGCGAGUUCGUGGUCCAGUACCUAUGUCUAUGACCCCUCUUCCUCCCGGUUUGGAUCCUUCACCCAUCUCAGAUAACCCUGUAAGUGACAUUCCUGUUUUAGACCCCUCGGAUGUUCUUCUUGUUCCUUUAUGUCGUUCUACACAUAUAUCUAGAUCACCUGACUGCUAUGGUUUUCCUUUAGAUCAUAAAUCCUUUUCUACUAUUUUGUCUUCCACAAAUAUUACCCGCUCAUACUAAUAGGCCAUUAGCAAUCCUCAAUGGAGAGAUGCCAUGGAUGCAAAAAUUCAAGCUUUGCACAAGAGCAACACUUGGGACCUAGUUCCAACACCUUCAAAUGGCUCUGUUAUUGGGAGCAAAUGGGUCUACUCCAUCAAGUUGAAAUCUAAUGGGUCUUUAGACCGAUAUAAAGCUCAGCUUAUGGCUUAGGGCUAUAUGCAGGAGUAUGGCAUCGAUUAUGAGAAGACAUUUGCCCCAAUGGCCAAGAUCACUAUAGUCUGUGUUCUCUUAGCCCUCUUUGCUGUACACUCUUGGACUAUCUUUCAACUAGAUGUGAUCCAUCCCUCAUCUAUCGGUUGAAGAAAUCUAUUUAUGGGCUAAAGCAAACUCCUCGAGCUUGGUUUGAAAAAUCAGAGAUGUUGUGUAAGCCGGGUAUAACCAGAGUGCUUUUGAUUACUCUCUCUUUAUGGGGAAAAGACCCCAAGGUAUUACAAUUCUCCUCCUGUAUGUGGAUGACAUGUUGACUGGAGAUGAUAUUAAAGGAAUUCAUGAGCUCAAGUUCAAAGGAUUUAGGCCCUCUUACCUAUUUCUUGGGACUUGAAGUUCAAAGGAAUUCUCGGGGUAUUUCAUUUGCCAACACAAGUAUGCUUCUAAUCUUGUCUAGUUGGCUGRUCUUACCRACGAUAAACGAGUAGACACUCCCUUGGGGUUGAAUGUCAAAUUGUCCAAGUCAAAAGGUUCCUUGGUUCUUGAGGCCUUCCUCUAUCAGAAACUUGCGGGAUCUCUCAUCUAUCUCACCACUCGUCAACCCAACUUGUCUUUGCUAGGUUGUAAGUUAGUUUGUCUCCGCCCCUCAUCAACCCCAUUUAAUUGAGGUACGUUGGUUCAUCUAUUAUGUUCAGGGCUCUUUAUCAUAGUGUCUCUUCUUCUCUUCAUCUUCUUCUAUACAUCUGAGUGCCUAUGCUGAUGCAGAUUGGGUUGGAUGCCCCGACACACGUCAUUCCACUACUAGAUGGUGUGUCUUCAUGGGUGAUUCUCUAAUCUCAUGGAAAUGCAAGAAACAACAAACUAUUUCCAAGUCCUCUACGGAAGCAAAGUAUAGGGCAAUGCCAUCUAUUUGUAGCGAAGUUGUUUGGCUUCAAUCUUUAUUUCAGGAAUUGGAUCAUUCCUCUCCUACACCCAUCCCUCUAUACGCAGACAACACUAGUGGUAUUAAGAUGGCCUCUAAUCCUGUCUUUUAUGAAAGGGCGAAGCAUAUUGAGGUGGAUUGCCACUUUAUCCGCAACUUGUUUCUUACGGGCUCUAUCUCUGUCCCUCAUGUUGCCUCCAAUACACAAGUUGCAGACAUCUUCACAAAGGCCAUGACGAGAUCCAAACACCUAUUCCUUGUAAGUUGCAUCAGUUUUGAGGGGGAGUGUGAAGAGUCUCACUAAUGUACCAUAUUAAUGUAGUCCCUAUUGUAUUUU